AUGGUAUUUAAGUGUCCAUAUUCUUUUCCCAUAUAGUGUACAGUACACAUGACAACCCGUUUAAAGUCUCCUUUUUCAGUUAGUUUGCAUCAGACAUAAAUGACAGGAAGAGUUGUAAUGAACGGAAGAGACAGUUAGUUAGAGGACAGAUGGAUGGGGGCGUGGCCUGUGGAUUUCUGAAUCACCUCUCAGAGAUUCUUGCUUGGACAACAGGGUUAUUCUGUGACAUCAUUCCUCCAGGCUACAUGGUAAGCCCCUGUGUCAUAACAUCCACAUUAUAUUCAUUAAAGAGAGGAUGUGGACGUGUUUGUCAAAACCAUUUCUGAAUGCUGUCCUUCAUGUUCUCCCAGCAGCUCAUGCUAUUAGUGUCGGACCGACUUCCUGUACCUUCAGAACAGCUGCUAGUCAGCCUGUCAUUCUCUUGUUGGAAGCCUGAAACCGGAGCCACGAGGGAAUGCCAAACUUUUCAGGAAAAGACCUACGCAUUCUGCCCCCCGUGAGCCGACAGCUCCUUGCCAUCAAAGUCAACGAUGCCGCUUUGCUGUGGAGAGAUGGAGAUCUGCUAUUGCCUGCGGACAGCUGGGUUUUACACAAUGGGUGUAAAGAUGUGGAAGAGGGUAAGGAAUGCUCUGGCAUUUGGAGUUAGCAUGAAAUCAAUAUCAGGGCACCGUACUAUUUUUAUUUCUCACAAAUAUGUUAUAAUGCAUUUCUACAUACAAUUUUGUAUAUCUAUAUUCAAGAUUUAGCUGUUGAAUCUGCAAUGUAACCAAAUAAAAACUCAU